rnacentral:lncRNA from 1 species
UGUUAGCUUGUAAACUGUCCUGGACUGCAGGACACCAGGAUGACCCAGUAAGGCCCAGUUCCCUUCCUCAUCUCCCUUUCUCCCUCAGAAAGAGUAACUGGAUCGCCGAGAAAAUAAGGAAGCUGAUGAAGCCCCGGCGGGAGAAUCCCCGCGAACAGUUGCGCCCCGUAGCUGAGGGAGCNGGCAGCAACGAAAGCUUGACGGGACAAGACGGAUGUGGGGCUGAUGAGAUAGUCUCCAGCACACCUAGCUCGCCAGCGACUUUACAGAAAAGCAGCAGCUCGCUCAGCAUCAUAGACGCGAGCCAGGUAUACUUCCGCCCCCGACGGCUAAGUUCACGGGUGGCAGGGAUGAACUCUGCGGGAGCAGAACAGAACUCGGCUCGUCAGAGAUUCCGCCAGCGGCGACUUGGGAUGUUAGGGGGUUCCCGCGAAGAAGCAGUUGUUGCCGGAGCAGUGGCUGAAUGGGAAACCCCAAGCCCAAUAUCUACAAGCCCAAAGGAUGAAAGAGGUAACGAAAGAACCCGAGGGUGAAACUGGGUGAAAAGAAGAGUUCUCAAGGCCAAGAAGUGGGGUGGAUUCAGGUUUGGCCUGUACCNGUUCAAUAAUUCACACGUUUCGUAUGUUUGUGCAGCAUGUCCUUGCAAGUAGAAAAUUAGCAGAUCAGGGAAGGCUUUUUGUUGAGGAGCUAGUUGUUUAGGNCNGCAUCCACAUGCAGUAAAAACAAAGGACUCAAAANCAGNUUAGAGGUGGUANGGCCUGCACACUAGUNCCUUAAUCCACAUUAAGGCCCUUUCUACACUGGGCUUUAUUCCAGAUUAUAUCCCAAACUAGGAAUCUUCCAUCUAGACACUUCUGAGCUGCUUUAUNUUAAUGUGUGUGGAUGCAGCCAAAACACCCUUUAUUNUUAACAGUAUAGACAAAACANCUAAGCCCNUUCUCACAACGUCAUCAGUGGUUUNGAGCUAACCCANUCAUUAAAAUAUGAUCUUCCCUUCUAUGGUGAGUCUUGCACCCUAUANAGGCCGUGCUAUAAAACACCUCCCUGCCUUUGCAGAAUGGCAAUUCAGGGAAAUGUUUCUGACAGUCAGACCUCCACACAAUUUGCAAGGUGCGUUGGGNUUUCUGGGAACAGAACCCUCACGCUAAUCAAGGAAUCCCUCUACAGCAAAAGCACAGUGGAAGAAUGAAAAGCAUCAGAAUAAUAAUUCUGUACAUGGGGUUCUGAUUCUAUUCCCUGCCCUGCUUUUCAGGGCCACUACUGGGAGAGGAGAAGGAAGCCCCAGCGUGCCCACCCUGAUGUUUGGAAGGAAGAGAAGAUUGAGGCCCCGGAGGACGGAGACAUACCAAGGAUGGCAAAGCACAGGAUCUUAUGGGGAAAGGCGUUGAAAGUGCAAUAUGGAGAGCAGAUCCGUGGUACCAGUCAGCAAAAUAUGUCGGGUACUCUCCAAGGAAGCAGAGUCUCUUACGACAUUACUGAAGUACUAAAACAGAGGCAUCAAAAGAUGGAGGUCCCCCCAUGAGAACAUUCACC